GACGAACGCUGGCGGCGUGCUUAACACAUGCAAGUCGAACGCAGUGGCGAACGGGUGAGUAACGCGUAAUCAACCUGCCCUUCAGAGGGGGACAACAGUUGGAAACGACUGCUAAUACCCCAUACUGAAGGAGGGGCUUGCGUCUGAUUAGCUAGUUGGGGGGGUAACGGCCCACCAAGGCGAUGGUCAUUAGCCGGUCUGGGAGGAGGAACGGGCACAGUGGGACUGGGACAAGGCCCAGACUCCUACGGGAGGCAGCAGUGGGGAAUCUUCCGGAAUGGAAGAAAGUCUGAUGGAGCAAAGCCGCGUGAGUGAUGACGGCCUUCGGGUUGUAAAGCUCUGUUAGUCGGGACGCGGUACCGGAAUAGAAAGCCACGGCUAACUACGUGCCAGCAGCCGCGGUAAUUC
rnacentral:rRNA from 1 species